UGGCUGUCCCAUGUUUAUUGGCAAGUGUGUGCGAGUAGGUGGGGUGGUGACGAUGUCAUGGAAACAGCCGUGAUGGAAGCAGACUAGUCAACAGAGGAGCAGAGCAUACCCAAAGAAUAGGGCAUUUCCUCCAAGCAGGAUGUUCAAGUCAACUGCAUUGUUUCAAGGACUCUCAGCUCCUCAACAGAUGUCAUCUCUCCCUGUGGGCGGGCGAGCAACAUUGUGGCUCUGUGGGUCUUCCUCCCCGGCCGUGACGGGAAGCAGUCCUCCACGGACCUUAGCUGCGAUCACAGUGCCCAGAACUCAGCCGGAAGACCUUACCUGACAGCAGGAAGAGGCCUGGAGGAAGACAAGGUGGAGAGUACCGACCAGGAGGAGCAGCCCUGAGGAAACGCCCAGACUAGGGAUCAAGGGUUAAAAAUCCAACCAAAGAGGGACACUAACCCUGCUAUGAAAGCUAGAAUACGACAUAGCUGUUAAAAGCAGACUGCAGAACUACUGGUGGAAUGAACAUACCAAAUACAAUUAAAUUAUAAAGGAGGAGAACUGUGGGACUGUAUGAUUCAAAAUUCAUUUAUUCCCCUAGCCUCUGUUAUGUUUAAAAUUUAAUGGUUAGAAUGUGCUUGUUAGUCUUGAAAUAGUAGAUAAAAUCUGUAACAAAGCAAAGUUCCUAAGUAAAUCAUUCAACCCCUUGUUUGUCCGGAGAACGAAAAUUCCCGGACCCACUAUCGGUAGGUAGAACAAUCCAUCACUGAGUCUGCUGAUCAUCAGUACGUGACAGUCGUGACCAUAUGGUCGUGACCAUUACUGUGUGUCUGCUGACCGUACUAUCAGUAAAACAACCCGUCACCAGAUGUGCUGACUAUCAGUACGUGACGGUCGUGACCAUAUGGUCACAAGGUCUUACUGUGUGCCUGCUGACCAUCAGCAUGUAAUAAUGAGUCAUUAACCUUUUUUCCCGUAAAUCUACAUGUAACCUCCCCCUUCAACCCCCUAUAAAAACAGCCUCGGACUCUGAGCCAGUUGCCUCUCUUAGCUACUUUGCUUUGGGAGUGCCGUCUGGCCAGACUAAUAAAGGUCUGUUUUACUUUCCAACUUGUCCGGUGUGUUCCUUCCCGGGUGAUCGUCGCUGCAGUCAGCUCCUCGGAGCGUUUGGUAAGGCCCUCGGUCUUACAGAACCAGAAACAGAAUGAGGUAAAAAUGCGCGCGCGUGUGUGUGUGUGUGUGUGUGUGUCUGUGUGUGUGUGUGUGUGUGUGUAUGCAGCCAUAAUUAAGAAUAAGAAUUCUUUCUUAGGUCUAAAUUCCAAUGCAAAGAAUACAAGAAGGUAAACUGAUCCUAAAAUUAUGCUUAAUGUCCCAAAACUUGAGCUGAAUGGGAUCUGUGGUCAGUGACCUGGUUUCCGAUUGUUGAGUGACAAAU
rnacentral:lncRNA from 1 species